UACGAAGGGGGCUAGCGUUGCUCGGAAUUACUGGGCGUAAAGGGCGCGUAGGCGGAUAUUUAAGUCGGGGGUGAAAGCCCAGGGCUCAACCCUGGAACAGCCUUCGAUACUGGAUAUCUUGAGUACGGGAGAGGUGUGUGGAACUCCGAGUGUAGAGGUGAAAUUCGUAGAUAUUCGGAAGAACACCAGUGGCGAAGGCGACACACUGGCCCGUUACUGACGCUGAGGCGCGAAAGCUAGGGGAGCAAACGGGG
rnacentral:rRNA from 1 species